CUGAAGCCAUAUUUUAAUGCACAUGAAAAUUCUCUUUUUGCCGAAGCCAAAAAACAAAAUACAAAUAAGGUUAUUUUGUGUAGCGAAAAUAGAUCAUUCGGCGAACAACUCUGGGGAUAAGCGCACUGCAGUAACUGAAUACUACCAGAAGUUUAUUUCACAAUUCCAGAAAAACACGGAAACAGAAGUAGUUACUGGAAUAUUGCUGGUGUACCCUAGAAGCAUCGUUCAUGUUCUGGAGGUAGGAAUUACUUAAAUAUGUUAAUUAACUGUCCAAAUUCUUCAUUGUUUGCACA